CUGCGGUAGGACUUUGACAGUUGCGGUAGAACUCGGCGGCUACCGCAGAGUGAAAAUUUUUCUAAAAAUCCGCAAUAUUGCACUGAAAAAAGUUUUCACGUUGUUUUCAUCUGAUUUUCACAUGGACUGUAUGUUACGUUUAAUAUGUUAUGCAGGAAAAAAUACAUGUAGGCAUUAGCGAUAAGGGUAGAAACGAAAAUAUGAUUCGCUCAGUGUAGUAUUUUCGAACACUAACGGUCGAUUCGAAUGCGCCGCCAACACAACCAUCUGCUGCUGUCAGACAUCGGGCAACACCGCUACUGACACGAGUGCAACUGUUCGGUCGGGGUAGGCGCGGAUCUGGAAAAAAGAAAGUUCAACCAUUCCCGUUCUAUCUUCAGCCCGGCACGUUAGCUGGUUCUCGCAAUCAAGUUUGUGUUAGAUUGUGCAGUUGUGAAACCGCGUGGUGAUUUGGAAUCCAGGAAUAAUUCGUUCUGGCGGGACCGCCAGAAAAACGGGACGCCGGAAAAGCUGCUAAUUGCGGGCAAAGAAGAACGGAUUCGGCGAAGUGCUUCUCACCGUAUUUCAAGUCGACGUCACACACAUCCGUCGAAAAGGAACGACGAGGAACCAAGGGAACGGAGCGACAUCCAAAAGUCAGACACGAUUGCCGAAACAAAUAACGGGAUUCGACGCUCAGGUUCCGUUUGGUUCACGUCGUGGUUAACAGAUUACGGAAUUGACCAGAAAUCAGCCGAUCGUCGUUGGCUAAGGACGGGUGAGCGGAAGCCGUAGGCGACAGAUUGCUACCCGCACCCUAACCUAUAUCAUCCACGAGGACUGAGGAGCGCCCAGCUAAAAUCAGCCAAGACCAUCGUCGGGAUAGUCUGCAGUCAAACAAAGGACCCCACCACAGGGGUUCUUUUAUAUGGUGCCAUCAUCUCCUCGGGUCGGUGAUUCCGAUUUGAGCAAGCUCGAGUCGAGGAAGCCUCUCCGGCGAAUCGGUUCCCGUGGUGCCGGGAAACAGCGAGAGCGGCUAACGGAGGCGAUCGAGAUCGAUUGAACCCGCUCAAUUCGUGAGGCCGAACCACGAAGCUUUCGCCGUAGACCGAGAUUCGGACCUGGCCACCCGCGCAGGUAACGGACGCAGGUCGAUCGUUGAAGAAAAGGUGAGCCAAAUUCCGGCCGGCUAAACCACGAAGGAGGGAGGCGAGAUUCCACCGUGAAGGCAGGACAGGAAGUAAGGGACGACAAGGGCCAGCGGUGUCCAACGACCGGGAAAGGCGCAAGCGUGGCCGGAGGUGCCGGUUGCCACCGGAGCCAAACAACCCCUUCACAGCGAAAUGGAACGGAGUCAAGUUGGCGGUGCCGUGAGUACCGAUAUCAUUUAGAUGCAUAAGAGAACCAAAUGUUAGCAUGUAAGAGCAGACAGUACUGUCGUUAGGAGAUAGGGGCCAAUAGGCCAAUAGCCAGACCAAUGGUACCAGUUUGAUGAGCCUAAAUAGACAUGUAAAAUGAA